UGCGUAGGCGGCUUGGUGGGUCUGGUGUGAAAGCCCCGGGCUCAGCCCGGGAAGGACACUAGAAACUGCCAAGCUGGAGUGCCGGAGGGGAGAGUGGAAUUCCUGGUGUAGCGGUGAAAUGCGUAGAUAUCAGGGGGAAUACCGGUGGCGAAAGCGACUCUCUGGACGGCAACUGACGCUGAGGCACGAAAGCGUGGGGAGCAAACA
rnacentral:rRNA from 1 species